AUGGAAGACAAUAACUACUUUCUCCCCACCCCAUCCCAAAUAAAUGAAAGGGUGGGAAAACUAAGCACUGUGGCUUCACACAUUUCUGUUUGUCUUCUAACCUCUUUUAAGAAAACACAGACUUUUAUAGCGACAUCUAUCUGCAUUGCGCUGAAAAAGAAGGACACAGUGGAGGGAACAAAUAAUGAGCGUGGUCUGGAUAACAGUUUGAAGAGAGAGACCAUUGAUUACAAUACAGAUAGAACUGCACUUCAUCAACUUAGCGGAAAGCAGCUGACAGUGGACUUCACACCUAACUCUAAUAAGGAAUUGCUAUGAAAAGUGACCCAGCGAGGAUAACUGCCCUGCGCGGUUCGAUGAGGUCACGGCAGGCAGGAGGGUAAGGACUCCAAGAACCGCAGCAGCAGCAUCGGGGGCCCAGGACCCGGACCGGACCGGGAUGCGCCCCGGAAGCCAGCGGCUCCUGGCGGUAGCGAGGAGUGGUUAAGUGCAGGUAACGAAAAGGUUAAGUGUUUUCCUCGUCGCAGCUCACCUUCCACUGCGGAGGAGCUGCCAGGCCAACCGCAGGCUCCAGCUGCGCUCACGUGACUUCUCCUUCCAGUUUUCCAACGGGAAGCACGCGCAGAUCUGUGUAGUGUUAUUACCAUAUAUAGAGAGAAACUGCUAGGCGAAAAACCCCGGAGAAGCCUGAGUCAGUUGCCUUAAGUAGGAGUGACCGGCCCGGGGAGGGGGUGGUUAAGAGGAAACCUGCCCUGCAGCACACAUCAUUACUAACGGUGUCAGGUCUGCUGAUGAUUCAGAAGACAGAUCAGAAAAGGGAAGUGCUGCAAAUGGGCAUCUAACUGCAGGAAAGGUUAUUAAACAGCUAUUAAAAAUUCUGGAGAACUAAUGAAAGACAGACUUUUCUCAACCUUGAUUUUUAAAGAUGAUAAGUUCUAACCUUCUCCCUACGUGUACUUGUUUUUUUUAUUUAAACAAAACAAAAAAUAUUCUAAAUAGAAAUAGUCCAGUGGAUGAUCUAAGACAAAAUCUCUGUGACUGAAGCAUUGCUGCCGGUUAAAAAAUAAUGCAAGUUACACAUGAGGUAUCCUUACUGACCAGAAAUGAUUAUGGAUGUGUAACUGCUUUGAUGUUGUGACAUAAUUGUUACUGGCAGACUGAAAAAUAGACCCACCAAGAAUUUUGACCAGAAUGGUAUCAAAGGGAGGUCAGGGACUUUUGGAUGAAGGUCUGGAAAAGAAUUGAAAGCUUUUACAUCUAUUCCUAGCGUUUCCAUCUUGCCAGUGUGUGCAUAGUUCAAACUACCUCAGUUUUCCACUCAUAAAAUGGUCAUAGCAUCUAUCUCUACAUAGUUUUUAGUACUCUAUUAAAUUUUUCUGAGAUUAUGUCCAUAAUGCUUUCUGAACCUCUUGAAAGCAAUAGAGUCUCACUUUUAAAAACUUUCCUGUCACAGCGUAUUAUCUGAUCAUCAACAUAUAGUUUUUAAUAUAGUUUUGUUGAUGAUCAGACAAUAAUAAAUAAUGCCUGUAACUUGGGAAAUUUAAACA
ensembl:lncRNA